UACGUAGGGACCGAGCGUUGUCCGGAAUCAUUGGGCGUAAAGAGCGUGUAGGCGGCCAACUAAGUCAGACGUGAAAUCCCUCGGCUUAACCGGGGAACUGCGUCUGAUACUGGAUGGCUUGAGAUUGGGAGAGGGAUGCGGAAUUCCAGGUGUAGCGGUGAAAUGCGUAGAUAUCUGGAGGAACACCGGUGGCGAAGGCGGCAUCCUGGACCGACACUGACGCUGAGGAGCGAAAGCCAGGGGAGCAAACGGG
rnacentral:rRNA from 1 species